rnacentral:rRNA from 1 species
GCUGAUGCGUUGUUGGGUAGGGGAGCGUUCUGUAAGCCUGUGAAGGUGUGUCGUGAGGCAUGCUGGAGGUAUCAGAAGUGCGAAUGCUGACAUAAGUAACGAUAAAGCGGGUGAAAAGCCCGCUCGCCGGAAGACCAAGGGUUCCUGUCCAACGUUAAUCGGGGCAGGGUGAGUCGACCCCUAAGGCGAGGCCGAAAGGCGUAGUCGAUGGGAAACGGGUUAAUAUUCCCGUACUUGGUGUUACUGCGAAGGGGGGACGGAGAAGGCUAUGUUGGCCGGGCGACGGUU